rnacentral:rRNA from 1 species
AUAUCACUAAGCGGAGGAAAAGAAACCAACAGGGAUUGCCCUAGUAACGGCGAGUGAAGCGGCAUUAGCCCAGAUUUGAAAUCUAGCCUCUAUUUUCUAGGGGUUCGAGUUGUAAUCUGCAGAGGGUGUUCUAGGUAUAGCUCACUACUAAGUGCCCUGGGACGGGACGCCAUAGAGGGUGAGAGCCCCAUGCGGUAGUGUAGUAAGCCUUUAAAGGGCCCCUUCGGAGAGUCGCGUAGUUUGGGAAUGCUGCGCAAAGUGGGAGGUAUACCCCUUCUAAGGCUAAAUACUGGCCAGAGACCGAUAGCGCACAAGUAGAGUGAUCGAAAGAUGAAAAGCACCUUGGAAAGGGGGUUAAACAGUACGUGAAAUUGCUAAAGGGGAAGCGCCUGUCCUCAGACUCGAGCCCUGUGGCUAUCACCUAACCUGAGAAUGGCUAGGGUAUUUCACAGGGCUUGGGCUAGCGCCGGCUAGCUGUUCUUUUCUGGAGUGCAAAGGUACUGGGAAAGUAGCUGCUCCUUCUGGGAGCAGUGUUAUAUCCCAGUGCGUAAUGCUCUAGGGCUAGCCGAGGUCCUCGCCUUUUUUGGCAAGGGCGCUGGCAUAAUGGGGACCGGCGGCCCGUCUUGAAACACGGACCAAGGAGUCGUCCUUGCAUGCGAGUGCUCGGGUAUUCAAGCCCAGGCGCGUAGUGAAAGCAAAUGCUGGUGGGAGCCCUUUUUUAGGGGGCGCACCACCGACCGAUCCAGCGGUUCUCCAACGGAUUUGAGUAGGAGCAUGUAGGGCCGGACCCGAAAGAGGGUGAACUAUGCGUGGGUAGGGUGAAGCCAGGGGAAACCCUGGUGGAGGCUCGCAGCGGUUCUGACGUGCAAAUCGAUCGUCAAACCUGCGCAUGGGGGCGAAAGACUAAUCGAACCUUCUAGUAGCUGGUUUCCGCCGAAGUUUCCCUCAGGAUAGCAGUGUCGAGCUCAGUUUUAUGAGGUAAAGCGAAUGAUUAGGGACUCGGGGGCGAUAUACUGCCUUCAUCCAUUCUCAAACUUUAAAUAUGUAAGAAGCCCUUGUUACUUUGGUGAACGUGGGCGCUCGAAUGUACCGACACUAGUGGGCC